GCCAGCACCGCCAUUCAUUGUGAUCAUGGCUGAUCAUCCCCAAUCAAUAACCCGUGCCUGCCUUCUCCCCAUGAUCAUCCCAGAUGAUCUUGUGAUUUCACUCAACAGGUUUUCACUCUAGAGCAGUUUGUUACUUUUGGUUUGCUGAAAACACAUUCUCAGGUAGCUACAUCACUACUAUCGGAGUGGAUUUCAAGAUUCAGACGGUCGAUGUUAAUGGGGAGAAGGUGAAGCUGCAGAUCUGUACAAUCACGUCUACGGCUUAGGAGCCGGUGCCGUGGACGGAGAGACGAGGAUGGUGAGCCCCCCACCCCCCACCAUCUGCUCGGUG